rnacentral:tRNA from 1 species
UAUUAAGAAGCUAUUAUAAGCAAUCAGUUUCGACCUGAUCAUAGGUAAAAUACCCUUAUUAA